rnacentral:rRNA from 1 species
GCGAAGGCAGAUUACUAACAAUACACUGACGCUGAGGGACGAAAGCGUGGGUAGCGAACAGGAUUAGAUACCCUGGUAGUCCACGCCGUAAACGAUGGUCACUAGCUGUUUGACUAACAUUGGUUAGUUGAGUGGCUAAGCGAAAGUGAUAAGUGACCCACCUGGGGAGUACGGUCGCAAGACUGAAACUCAAAGGAAUUGACGGGGGCCCGCACAAGCGGUGGAGCAUGUGGUUUAAUUCGAUGAUACGCGAGGAACCUUACCAGGGCUUAAAUGUAAGUUGCAUGGAUCAGAGAUGGUCCUUUCUUCGGACUACUUACAAGGUGCUGCAUGGUUGUCGUCAGCUCGUGCCGUGAGGUGUCAGGUUAAGUCCUAUAACGAGCGCAACCCCUAUCGUUAGUUGCCAGCGGGUAAUGCCGGGUACUCUAACGAGACUGCCAGUGCAAACUGUGAGGAAGGUGGGGAUGACGUCAAAUCAUCACGGCCCUUACGUCCUGGGCUACACACGUGCUACAAUGGCCGGUACAGAGAGCAGCCACUCCGCGAGGAGGAGCGAAUCUUCAAAGCCGGUCUCAGUUCGGAUCGCAGUCUGCAACUCGACUGCGUGAAGCUGGAAUCGCUAGUAAUCGGAUAUCAGCCAUGAUCCGGUGAAUACGUUCCCGGGCCUUGUACACACCGCCCGUCAAGCCAUGGAAUCUGGGAGUACCAGAAGUCGGUGACCGCAAGGAGCCGCCUAGGGUAAAACUGGUAACUAGGGCUAAGUCGUAACAAGGUAACCGUA